GUUGAUCCUGCCAGAGGUUACUGCUAUUGGUGUUCGACUAAGCCAUGCAAGUCAUAUGUUCCUCGUGAACAUGGCAUACUGCUCAGUAACACGUGGAUAACCUGCCCUUGGGUCUGGGAUAACCCCGGGAAACUGGGGAUAAUACCGGAUAACGCAUAUGUGCUGGAAUGCUUUAUGCGUAAAAUGGAUUCGUCCGCCCAAGGAUGGGUCUGCGGCCUAUCAGGUAGUAGUGGGUGUAAUGUACCUACUAGCCAACAACGGGUACGGGUUGUGAGAGCAAGAGCCCGGAGAUGGAUUCUGAGACAUGAAUCCAGGCCCUACGGGGCGCAGCAGGCGCGAAAACUUUACAAUGCGGGAAACCGUGAUAAGGGAACACCGAGUGCCAGCAUCAUAUGCUGGCUGUCCAGAUGUGUAAACUACAUCUGUUAGCAAGGGCCGGGCAAGACCGGUGCCAGCCGCCGCGGUAACACCGGCGGCCCGAGUGGUGACCGUUAUUAUUGGGUCUAAAGGGUCCGUAGCCGGUUUGGUCAGUCCUCCGGGAAAUCUGAUAGCUUAACUGUUAGGCUUUCGGGGGAUACUGCCAGGCUUGGAACCGGGAGAGGUAAGAGGUACUACAGGGGGUAGGAGUGAAAUCUUGUAAUCCCUGUGAGACCACCUGUGGCAAAGGCGUCUUACCAGAACGGGUUCGACGGUGAGGGACGAAAGCUGGGGGCACGAACCGGAUUAGAUACCCGGGUAGUCCCAGCCGUAAACUAUGCUCGCUAGGUGUCAGGCAUGGCGCGACCGUGUCUGGUGCCGCAGGGAAGCCGUGAAGCGAGCCACCUGGGAAGUACGGCCGCAAGGCUGAAACUUAAAGGAAUUGGCGGGGGAGCACAACAACGGGUGGAGCCUGCGGUUUAAUUGGACUCAACGCCGGACAACUCACCGGGGACGACAGCAAUAUGUAGGCCAGGCUGAAGACCUUGCCUGAAUCGCUGAGAGGAGGUGCAUGGCCGUCGCCAGUUCGUACUGUGAAGCAUCCUGUUAAGUCAGGUAACGAGCGAGACCC
rnacentral:rRNA from 1 species